CCUACGGGUGGCUGCAGUCAAGAACAUUCGACAAUGGGCGAAAGCCUGAUCGAGCGACGUCGCGUGAUCGAUGAAGUCCUUAGGGACGUAAAGAUCUUUUACACGGGAAGAACCCGCUUUCGGGCGGAAUGACGGUACCGUGGGAAUAAGGGGUUGCUAAACUCGUGCCAGCAGCAGCGGUAAUACGAGUGCCCCAAGCGUUAUCCGGAAUUAUUGGGCGUAAAGGGUGCGUAGGUGGUUGUAUUAGUCUUUUGUUAAAGCCGGGGGCUUAACCCCCGAAGUGCGAAAGAAACGGUACAACUAGAGGGUAUGAGAGGCGUACGGAACUCAUGGUGUAGGGGUGAAAUCCGUUGAUAUCAUGGGGAACACCAAAGGCGAAGGCAGUACGCUGGCAUAUUUCUGACACUGAGGCACGAAAGCGUGGGUAGCGAAUGGGAUUAGAUACCCCUGUAGUC
rnacentral:rRNA from 1 species